UUUCACAACCAGUUUAAUAACUUCAGUGUGAACAUAUUGCGAGCAUUUCUACUUAAUUAGCUCCAACUUUUUAAAUUAAAGUGUUUAUUGGAAUUUUGCAACUUUAAAGAGUUUGAAUUUUAAUCUCUUAAAAGUUACAUACAUAUUUAGUGAAACACAAUAAGCGAAGUGUCAUUUAACUGAAAAAUGUUCACCCUGUGCGCCGUAUGCAUAUUUUUGGGCCUCAGCGUCUAUUAUUUUAUUUCCUGGGAAGACAAUUCCAACGAACCUCCAGGUAUGGUCCAAAACCGUGGCCAAUUAUUGGAAAUUUAUUCCAUUUGGCGACCGUGUCAGAUAAUACGACUUUAUCGUUGGGAAUACUGGCAGAAAAGUAUGGAGAAAUAUAUUCCUUAAGGAUUGGAUUCAGAAAAAUGGUCAUUCUCACAUCGAAGGAAGCCAUGGAAACCAUUUUCAUAAAUGAGGCCGCUUUGGCACGUGAUACUUCUGGACCGAGUGGAGAUAGAGUUUUUAAUAAAAACCUUGGCAUUGCGGCAUCACAUGGGAAUAUGUGGGAGAAGACGAAAACGUGGACGUUUAAAACGUUAAAACACUUCGGCUUCGGAAAAUCUUUGGACAUGCAACGUUUCACUAAAAUCGAAUCGCAAUCCUGGUUUGCCGACAUCGAUAAUAAAAUUGACACGCAAGGUGGCGUCAUUCCAAUAGAACGGUACUUUAACUCAUCCAUUCUUGCCAUAAUGUGGAAAAUCAUUGUGGGUCGUAUUACCCCGGAGGAUGAGACAAACAUGGAAGCUAUAUCGGAUAAAGGACAUGCACUAAUGCAGACUGGCUUCUAUGGAAUUGCAGUCGUCAUGGCUUAUCCAUUUUUUAGACGCAUUUUCCCCGAAACCUUGGAUUAUAAUGUACAAACGGAUUAUUUUACGACGUGUAACGGGAUCAGUAAGCACCUUUUCCUUGAGACGGAAAGCCAAUUAAAGUCUUCCAAAAUGACGUCACAUUCUUCUUCUUCUUUAUUGGAAACUUUCGUCCAAAAUUAUUUUGCAGCAAGUGAUCCCGAGUUGUUUAACCAGUUGCCUGCCACAUUUGAAGCCAUAAAAUAGUUGCUAAGCCCCCAAGAUAAGCCUUUGAAUUUCGUGAGUUUUGUACCACUUUUCUUGGAGAAGCAUUUUCACUGCGACCCAAGAUAUGAAAUGCUGACAAGUACGCUAUAGCCCAAAUUAAUGCAAGGGUGAUACUGAUAAUAUGAUAAGUGGAAAUCGUUUUAAUUAUCAUUACUUAUGCCGCGAAGCAAUUUUUUUCACAAUAAAACACCAUACAACAUCAUGAUAGUCAAUUCGAAUAUAGGCCGGAAAAACUCGGGAAAACAACUAUAAAUCACGAAUUAUAAAAUUUCACAAACUUAUUCAUAGUUCGGCAAAAUAUUUUUACACAAUCACAAUUAAUUUCACAUUUUAAAUACAAAACAGUUCUUCUUCCUCCAUUCCUUCAACAUUUGAUUCAAAAUUCGCUUCCUGAAAUCUCACUUCAUUCGCUUCACCGAAUCCUGAUCCAAUUUCAGAGUUAGUUGACCUAGGUACUGAUUGGUCCAUGAGGCUUUGACUGGUCGUUGUUGAAGAUGCAGUAGCGGAAGCAUGUUUCCUUUUAACAGGUAGUUUCGGAAGUGUAUGGAAUCUCUUGAAACACGAGUCUUGGCUCUUGAUGCAGAAAAAUUUCAGACAUUUUUCACACCUGAAAGCUGUGGUGCACCUUCUUCCUUCCAAACCGCAGAGGUGACAGUCCCGGAAGACCGAGACAUCGUCUUUUAGAAUCUUUUCUGGAAGGUGGGUGCCGAUUCGCCGCUCUAACUGGGUGUUCGACUUCCUCCCCAAUGAUCGACGUUGUGGUGGAUAUUUUUCUAAUAUUUGUUUGAUUAUAAUUCGUACAAAAUCCUUAUAACUUGAGUGUUCCUUCGUUGGCCGGAAAGAAGAGUGAAUGAUGUGCGAAUUGUAAAUUGCUAUGUCCAAGAAGUAGAAGAAUAUUUUCUUGUACCAUUUGAAGGAUUUGCGGACAGAUGUGAAGGGCUUAGUGACUCUGUCGACGUUAUCCACAGCGCCCAUUGUCGCAUUAUAAACGAGAACAGUUGAUGGUUUCUCUCGGUUGUUGUUGGGGUUUGUGGUAGUGAUUUCUUCCAUUCGGUGUCCCAUAAAUGUGUUCAACAUAAUCACUUCUCUCCGGUCCGACCACCUAAAAAUCAUAAAAUGAAAUUAUUCAUGUCAUUCUGUUGAAAUUUGACGUUCAUAUUAUUGUAUUGUGUUUAUUGGUAAACUCUGCACAAGCUUACCGUUCCACUAAAAUGUCAGAGGAAGAAUUAGUAGCAACUUGUCCCUUUGCUAAUUUGUCCGUCCAUCUCGGCAUCAGUUUUCUUCUUUUCUGCACCGUCCCAAGAAUGUAUGUACCAAGUUGCUUCAAUCGCAUUUCUUCACCAUUCACCACAGUCCAAUCCUUCAUUGUGUUCCGAUCCGCGCAUUUUAGGUAUUGAACAUACAUGUUUGUCUGAAGGACGAUUUCAUCCAAAAUUUCGGGGUCCAAGAAUUUUUGUAGAAUCUCUAGAGCAGUAGAUUCCAUCGUGACUCCAAAAUCCGGCUUUAGAAAUUCCCCUGGAUCCUCAUAAUCACUAACUUGUGGUGUAAAUGGGACAUUUUUACGAUAGCGUAUAACAUUGGUCUGAAAUACGAAUCAAUGAGGGGAAAAUACAAUUAUUUAGUAAUAUACAUAUGUACAAAUAAUAUACGUACAUCGGGGUAUUCAUUGGGGUCACCCAACUCGGUUUCAGAAUCCACAUCCGCGCCUUCUUCAUCUUCAUCUUCCGGAAAGGUUACCAGGUUCUCGUCAUCAUCGUCGUUGUGUUCGUGUCGCAAGAAUUCCUCAUCGGAGUCGCAAUCUGAGAACUGGCCGAGAGAAAAUUCGACGUCUUCACUGUCUGCACGUAUUUUCAAGUGUGAGAAUAUAGGAUAUAUAUUUAUAUAUAUGCUUGUUGAUGAUAAAUACUUACCUGACAUGCUUGAAGAUCUAAGCAAUUGUAAUAUACAAGCUCCAAACAAACUAAAGCUAUUUAGAAAUUUUUACGGAUUUUUUUUUUAAAUACACGACGUUGAUGUGCUCGGGCGGAAAAUUGUGUUUUUGGAAUUACAUGACAUUGAUGUACUUGGGCGCAUGGUUACCGCAGUCGGAGUACACGACAUUGAUGUAUUUGGGCGCAUGGUUACCGUUCAAGGAGUACAUGACUUUGAUGUACUUGGGCCCUUGGCGACGGCUUGUGCGCCACAUGACAUUCAUGUGCUUGGGAGGCAACUGGUUAAUUGUAUGGAUUAUUACUACACAUUUCAAAAAUAAUUUUUUUUAACAAUUCUUUUUACAUAUGCAUACUUUUAUGUAGGUGAAAACUUUCAAUUAAUAUUUCAAGACCUCUUCUUUGCUAGUGUUGACUCAUCAGCGACAUUCAUGGAAACCAUCGUCCUCUUCCUGGUUGCUUAUCCGGCCGUUCAGGAGAAAAUCUAUCAAGAAAUUGUAAGCGUUGCCCGGAACGGAAUGUAUAUCAGUUACUCGGAUCGGAACAAUAUGCCAUAUACCCAAGCCUACCUUUUGGAAAUACACCGGAAAGCGAGAAUGGUCCAGAACUUAUUGCCAAGACUCGCCCAAAGUGAUAUUCCGUAUAAAAAUUACAUUAUCAAAAAGGGUACCAUCCUACUUUGCGAUACAAGACUCUACUACGAGGACAAGGAGAGAUGGGGCGAUCCUGAAGAAUUCCGACCGGAGCGAUUUAUUGGCGAAAAUGGCUAUUUCGAAUAUCUAUUUCAAAAAUUUAUUUAUGUUUUUAAAAUUCAGUGUUCUUAAAUGUGGAUCAUAUGUAAGUUUGAUCAUUAAUCGAUUACAGAUAACGAUAUUCGAUGAAUCUUACUAAAUGAUCAGAACAAAUACUCAAAAUUAGGAACGCACAGCAAUAUAUGAAAGAAGCAACCAAAUUGGAUUACUCAACCCCAAUCACUAGGUUUUCUUUUUCGAUUGAGUAAAUUUUCAUCAUAUUGAAGAAAAUCUCAGGAACAGCUUUGUUAAAAUCCUGGGAAACGAAACUGUCCUGGUGUUAAGUUUGCAAAUAUUGUCACAUUUCUGACGCUUACCUCCCUCGUGCAAAAAUACAAGGUUUGCGUCCUUGAUGGCGAACCGAUCCCCAGAUUGGACAUGAUGGCUGGAAUGCUACUUAAGCCACACCCAUUUAACGCGAAAUUUGUAAAACGAUAGACUUCUUGGGUUUUGCUAGAUACAAACCGCAGUAAUAUUUUUAUGAUUUAAUCAAAAAAUACGUGACAUGGGUUUUAAUUGAAUAAAAAUUUAUUUGGUGGGUAAUGUGUA